AGAGAGGAACCGGUGUGGUGAACUCCUGGCAUGCGCAGGUGACAAGAGGUUCCGCAGGGUAAGGUCACAGGCUUAUUAAACUUGGAUGACAGUAAACCGAUGACUAACUGGAAUGAAUGGAGUCUCUACACAUCAAAUCGUGUGUCUUGACUACUCAGGAUGUCAAGGGCAAAGGUUAACUCCUGGGGGUUUUCUUUCUGUAUUAAGAUUCUCAAGAGAACAGAACCAGUGGUGGAUGUGGAAACAAGGCUCCGAAAAUGUUAAAGAAGCCACUCCUGGUCAUUACAUCAGCUAAACGACAGGCUCUGAUUCACCUGGGCUGUGGGAUUUCCAGGAUCAAAGCAAGUGUAAGAGGGCUGAUGGUGGGCCACUGUCACCACACCCUUCAUCUUUCACUGUGUCAUCUGAGGUUGUUCUACAGUGCCUUGCUUCUGAUUGUGCUGUCAACCUUCUCAGUCCCUGGGUUGGACCUAGGACAACAGGCCAGCCUUUGGUUAGCAUCAGCAGCUGAGUGGAGACUCGUCUCCAAGCAUCAAGGAUGUGAAAAUGUGAUCUUGUUGGGGAUAGUGGGAGCUUGGGGGAUGGGUUCCUUUGUACUUCUCUCAAGGUCUCCUGGUCCCUCCCUGUGUGUUUGUGGGCGCCACAGACAGCCUCACAAUCAGGAUGAGUGGUAACGGGACAGUCAAACACAAUGAAGGGAAUCAUUGUCUCACGAGAGUCAGAACAUCUGUUCCUCCCACCGCACCUGGGCGAAGGCCAAAUAAUCAAAAGAAGGAAACAGGAUCUGCCAACAACGCACUUUACCUUGAGUCUUUGUGUAGAGAAUACCUUCUCCAAGUAGGCGCCUUUCAUUGGCUCAGAUUUUCCCAUCUCAGUUGUCAUUAUAACUGAAAGCUAUUGUAGCUCAUAAUUUCACAUUGUCCUUUCAAAUAGAAGCAUCGCCAAGCAGAUGUGAACAAUUAUCUUCAAUUGUGAUUUUUUUUCCAUUAAAUUUCUAAAGGAAUACCUAACCUGGGUGUUCAAACAUUGGUUAAUCC